UCCCCAUUUUAUUAUUUUUAUUUUUAUUUUUAGCUGAAAAGACAUAAAGGCAGUCAGCCCAGUGGUGUUUCUGGAGAGGGAUUCCUUCAGAAAUGGAGAAGACAGAAAGCUGCGGAGGCAGAUAUAUGCAGCAUGUUCGAGUGAGCAUGAUAACCACAAGUGUGUGUCGAACUUUUCAUGACCUGAUGACUGUGUUUCCCAAUCCUGAUCCUGGAGAACCCCAGCACUGCACGGUUUUGGUGUCUCUCUUUCUGCCUUGGAGUCUUCACUGAUGAGCUGAUGAGUUGAAUCAGGAUUGUUUGAGGAUAACGCUGUAGCUCCAUCAUGCACAAGGACUCACCUCGUUAACUCUUUAUCCCCCGCACACACAGAAAUGGUCCCUGGAUCAGUGAUUAGACUUUGCAGUGGUUUGAUUUUUGCAGAAGAUGUAACUUUAUUUUAAUUAUAAGCUCAUAAUGAAUACAUUACAGAACCAGUGAUGAAAACAAUAGUUAAAAAUAGCGCUCCAUAUUAAAAAUAUAUUGCACACUUGACAUGCAUGUCUUCAUGGUGUUUUUUUGUGAGUUUGAAACAUUUACAUUGUGUUGUAUAACAUUUUGGUCACAACACUUUUUCCAGUGUUCUCUGAAAGACAUACUGUAUUUACUGUUUUGUUUUUUAAUAAAAGCAUUUUCAUUUGCAUACUGAAAAUAGUUAAUGUUUACAACAUAACUGCCUUUUUAUUCUUUAUGGUGGCAAAAACUUGGUGACAGAGGAUGCAGUGUAGUAAUUUGGGCAUGUUGUCUUUAAAUGAGUUUGACAUAUAAAUAAAUAAUGGAAGAUCCUUACAAAAAUAUGCAUGUUUAUUAUGCUUUAUGUAUUUAUUUGUUCAUUCAUUCAUUCAUUUAUAAUUUCAGUUUUUAUUCCUAGAGUUCAAAUGGUAGAGAAUGGUAAA